GAAACGUCAAAAUAAGUUGCUUUCAGAAUUGAUCCUCGAAGGGGAAAGAUUUUCUUUAAAGUCAGUCAGUGAGUGGAGUGAAGCGAAUGGUCACUGGGACCACACGACUGGGGAUCUCAGCCCUGAGUUACCAAAGUGAAUCAGCUGAACCUUCUUCAUUCAGAGUGUCUCAGCGCAAGUCUGAACAAUGAGCCAUGGGGCUUCGACAUUCAUGCCUGGGCGGUUGCAGCUUGUGUUUGCAAGGCGAGUACAAUGAGAGAGGUCGUUCAGGGCAGAAUCGCUUGAAUAUCCCUGAUAUAAUCGUCACACCUCCCACCCCCACUGUGCUCUCAGCACCAGACGCCUCCAAACCUGCUGACAGGGAAUCGCUGGUGGACGAUAGUUACCGAAACAGAUGUUAAAUUGAGAAGAGAUCAAGAGAGGGAGAGACAGCGAGCGAGAGAGAGAAAGAGAGGAGAGGAGACUGGAAAAAUCCAGGCGAGCUCACAUCAAAAACAAAUACAUCCACAGAUUGAAACGGCGUUCACAGCAGGUUGCACACACGCCAUCUGUCUUGUUUCACUUCGAAUGCAAAUGAUAAACCUCACACAGAUUUGAUCUGUCAAUCAGUUCUCUCUCUCUCUCUCUCUCUCUCUCUCUCACCCACUGAAGAAAUGAAAAGUUUUGAACUUGUCGCACACACUUCUUCGCAAGAUUGACUUGUUUGAGAAUUUUUUCCCCACCACGUUAAGGAUUUAUUUUUUUAUGUGUAUGUAUGUAACAAAAAAAAAGUGUUUUUUUUUAAAAAAAUAUUGUUUCUUCUUUCUACUGCUAGCAAUGGGUUCCGUUGACUCAAAAUCAAUUCACACAGAGAUCCUGGAGCACACCUGGUCUGGUUGAGUCUUGCAAUAAUAAUAAUAAUAAUAAUAAUUCUUGCAUUUGAUACAGCACCUUAUCA